GGGAUAACAGUUGGAAACGACUGCUAAUACCGGAUGUGCCGAGAGGUGAAAGAUUUAUUGCCNGGAGAUGAGCUCGCGUNUGAUUAGCUAGUUGGUGGUGUAAGGGACCACCAAGGCGUCGAUCAGUAGCUGGUCUGAGAGGAUGAUCAGCCACACUGGGACUGAGACACGGCCCAGACUCCUACGGGAGGCAGCAGUGGGGAAUUUUCCGCAAUGGGCGAAAGCCUGACGGAGCAAUACCGCGUGAGGGAGGAAGGCUCUUGGGUCGUAAACCUCUUUUCUCAAGGAAGAAGAAAGUGACGGUACUUGAGGAAUAAGCAUCGGCUAACUCCGUGCCAGCAGCCGCGGUAAUACGGAGGAUGCAAGCGUUAUCCGGAAUGAUUGGGCGUAAAGGGUCUGCAGGUGGAACUGAAAGUCUGCUGUUAAAGAGUUUGGCUUAACCAAAUAAAAGCGGUGGAAACUACAGAACUAGAGUGCGGUAGGGGCAAAAGGAAUUCCUGGUGUAGCGGUGAAAUGCGUAGAUAUCAGGAAGAACACCGGUGGCGAAAGCGUUUUGCUAGACCGUAACUGACACUGAGGGACGAAAGCUAGGGGAGCGAAUGGGAUUAGAUACCCCAGUAGUCCUAG
rnacentral:rRNA from 1 species